rnacentral:rRNA from 1 species
GCAGCCGAGCGGUAUUGUUUCUUCGGAAAUGAGAGAGCGGCGUACGGGUGCGGAACACGUGUGCAACCUGCCUUUAUCUGGGGGAUAGCCUUUCGAAAGGAAGAUUAAUACCCCAUAAUAUAUUUGUUGGCAUCAAUGAAUAUUGAAAACUCCGGUGGAUAGAGAUGGGCACGCGCAAGAUUAGAUAGUUGGUGAGGUAACGGCUCACCAAGUCUGCGAUCUUUAGGGGGCCUGAGAGGGUGAUCCCCCACACUGGUACUGAGACACGGACCAGACUCCUACGGGAGGCAGCAGUGAGGAAUAUUGGACAAUGGGUGAGAGCCUGAUCCAGCCAUCCCGCGUGAAGGACGACGGCCCUAUGGGUUGUAAACUUCUUUUGUAUAGGGAUAAACCUACUCUCGUGAGAGUAGCUGAAGGUACUAUACGAAUAAGCACCGGCUAACUCCGUGCCAGCAGCCGCGGUAAUACGGAGGGUGCAAGCGUUAUCCGGAUUUAUUGGGUUUAAAGGGUCCGUAGGCGGAUCUGUAAGUCAGUGGUGAAAUCUCACAGCUUAACUGUGAAACUGCCAUUGAUACUGCAGGUCUUGAGUGUUGUUGAAGUAGCUGGAAUAAGUAGUGUAGCGGUGAAAUGCAUAGAUAUUACUUAGAACACCAAUUGCGAAGGCAGGUUACUAAGCAACAACUGACGCUGAUGGACGAAAGCGUGGGGAGCGAACAGGAUUAGAUACCCUGGUAGUCCACGCCGUAAACGAUGCUAACUCGUUUUUGGGCUUUCGGGCUCAGAGACUAAGCGAAAGUGAUAAGUUAGCCACCUGGGGAGUACGUUCGCAAGAAUGAAACUCAAAGGAAUUGACGGGGGCCCGCACAAGCGGUGGAUUAUGUGGUUUAAUUCGAUGAUACGCGAGGAACCUUACCAAGGCUUAAAUGGGAAAUGACAGGUUUAGAAAUAGACUUUUCUUCGGACAUUUUUCAAGGUGCUGCAUGGUUGUCGUCAGCUCGUGCCGUGAGGUGUUAGGUUAAGUCCUGCAACGAGCGCAACCCCUGUCACUAGUUGCCAUCAUUAAGUUGGGGACUCUAGUGAGACUGCCUACGCAAGUAGAGAGGAAGGUGGGGAUGACGUCAAAUCAUCACGGCCCUUACGCCUUGGGCCACACACGUAAUACAAUGGCCAGUACAGAGGGCAGCUACACAGCGAUGUGAUGCAAAUCUCGAAAGCUGGUCUCAGUUCGGAUUGGAGUCUGCAACUCGACUCUAUGAAGCUGGAAUCGCUAGUAAUCGCGCAUCAGCCAUGGCGCGGUGAAUACGUUCCCGGGCCUUGUACACGCCGCCCGUCAAGCCAUGGAAGUCUGGGGUACCUGAAGUCGGUGACCGUAAUAGGAG